GCACUGGGUAGUUCAGCUGGUUAGAGCGUGGUGCUGACAAUGCCAAGGUUGCAGGUUCGAUCCCUGUUUGGGACA